GUUCAGUGGACGAGACACUGAAGAUAAAAUCUCCGCCAGGCCCCGCAUGAUGCCCAGGGAACGGUGCCAUCCGUCAAACCUCUCUUCCUGAUGGGCGUGAGUUUCCCACCCACUGUGGGAAGAGACACUGGGGGCUUUGUUUGCGAUAGCUUUGUUUGCUUGCAGCCACGGGGAAAAUAAAUAUGACCUCAGGUUGGUGAAGGCCCUGAUGGAGCUUGGAGGUCCUGGGAGAGCAAUUCCUAAACUCCAACACAGAGGACUUCAUCAGAGAAUGAACGUGGUCCUGGCACUGUGAGUCACUGAAUCUUCAGAGAGCUUCAGAACCCCGUCAGGCAGAGCCUUCGUCUCAAGAAUUCCUCACAAUUUGACCUUCGGGCAGCGUUCACGAUAUCUGCCCUGAACUUAGCCCAGAACUGAAAAUGUACUCAGCAGAGGCUUAGGGUGAGAAAGCAGAUUCGUUUUGGGACUCAAUGCACCAGAAAUUUAUGACAGAAUUAAAAAGUCUCUGAAGAAAACUCAGUUAAAAGAAAAUCAGCUUUAUAAUUUUAUAUUUGAGUGGGAAAAAUAUUAAAUAGAAGUGAUUAACAGGAAUAUUUGGCACACAUAUUGUUUAUUCUGGUUCUUAUUAACUACAUGCCAAAAUGGCAUAUAUAAAAGUAGAAUUUAAGGAAUUUUAUAUCAGAGAUUUAUAGAUU
rnacentral:lncRNA from 1 species